CAGUGUCCUGGCAGUGUUGGUGCUGCUGAGCCACAACACUACAGGACCACACAAAGCCCGAGCACCACGCUAACACCUCACUCACACUAACAUGGUGACAGAUGAUGAACUCUCCAGUUUCAGAUGCAGAACCAUCGUCCCGGGUGUGAACACUGAUGACAACAAUGGCGUCCCAUCUUCUCUUGUGAUUCCAUAUUAUUAUUGAUUUAUAUUGUAUAAGGUGCAUUAAUAAAAAUUAUUUAAAGA
rnacentral:misc_RNA from 1 species